ACUCUAUACGUUUAUAAAAAAAACGAAGAGAGAAAGGAAAAAAUGAACAUUUGUUAAGUUUGGUUCGUUUUGUUAUUAUAUAGCAAGAAAAAAGCGUGACAAAUGUUUGAGCGGUAAGUGCAUGAAGAAGAUUCGUAAACACAUACCAAUCGUCUGCUGGAUCUUUCCUCGGGUACUCGAGGUGAUACGGAACUAAAUGGAUAGGGGGAGGAGUACCGCUUAUAGAAAUCCGUGCCUUGUUCAGCGGCCACUGAAACAAUAUUAGAAAUAUUUUUCAUAUUCGAAACUACAUGUUUUUGUUUUGUAUCUGUGGUUUACAAAGGUCUAAUUAAUUAAAUUUUGUUAUUUUUUGUGAUUUGCAGUUUUUUUUUUGUCAAUAAUAUUGUUGGUGUUGCAAAAAAUUAUAAAAUCAAGUGAAUAGAAUAUAAGCGAAGUGUGAAAGAUUGGAAGGAAGAGAAGGAUUUAAGAUUAAGAGUAAAAGAAAUGGUUUGGUCGAGGGAAAUUUCUAAUAUUUUCAGUUCCUCCUAAACAUUCAACAACAUCAAAAACGAUAAUAAAUUCAAUUAAAUUCAAAAAUCAAUUGGCCGUGCGCAUUUUCCGGAUUUCUAUAAACUUUUUCACUCCCGCCCCAUAAAGUUUCGAACCCACAAAUCUUUCGUCGUUUUUUUUUUGUUUUAAAUCAUUUGUGUGUUCGACAUUUAUUUUCGCAUGAAACAUUUUUUUGGUCUCAACUCAACAAUGGACAUUCUUCGUUGAGAUAUUAGUCUUUUUGUGUGUUUAAUAUCAAAAUCUUUUUACAUGAGCUAGAGAAGAACAACAAUUUACCAAUCGUCUAGGCUGUUUGACUAACGGUCGAUUCAUUCCAUUCAUUUUAUGGUACAGGCCACAUGCAUUGCAUAAAUAAUGACCGGUUCCGUCGCGUCGCCACAAAGGUGUCGAAAUUGCACCGCAAUUGACGCAUUCACGUCCUUCCGUAAAUAAAUCAGCUUCAACACCGCCUAAUCCGCCUACUUUUGAUACAUAUUUUAUUGAAUUGAUAUUAUGGAUUUAAUUGAAUUUAUUACAAUUUUUGGUAUUUUUAAAAACUUUUUUUUUAAUUUUUUGGUUUGUUGAUGAUGUCGAAAUAAAUGCAUUCUUUAGUGGGUGGGAGUAUGGGUG